ACACUCCAGUGGCUCAGAAAAUGAACUCUUUCCCUAGACUAGUGAUUGUACUCUUCUUAAUGUUUGGAGAGAGCAAUGGAGACUCGGUGACACAGACGGAAGGUAGAGUCACAAUCUCUGAAGGGACUUCUCUGACUGUGAACUGUUCCUAUGAAACCAAACAGUACCCAGCCCUGUUCUGGUAUGUCCAGUAUCCCGGAGAAGGUCCACAGCUCCUCUUCAGAGUCUCCAAGGCCAACGAGAAGGGAAGCAGCCGAGGUUUUGAAGCUACUUAUGAUGAAGGAUCCACCUCCUUCCACUUGCAGAAAGCCUCGGUCCAAGAGUCUGACUCGGCUGUGUACUACUGUGCUCUGAGUCACAUAGUGUCACACACUGCAGGGGGAGCUGAGCACAAACUCUGAGAAGCAGAGCCUGAUGCUGAGUGUGUCUGAGAUCACUCAU